rnacentral:rRNA from 1 species
GGGCGUAAGAGCUCGUAGGCGGUUUGUCGCGUCUGCUGUGAAAGACCGGGGCUCAACUCCGGUUCUGCAGUGGGUACGGGCAGACUAGAGUGCAGUAGGGGAGACUGGAAUUCCUGGUGUAGCGGUGAAAUGCGCAGAUAUCAGGAGGAACACCGAUGGCGAAGGCAGGUCUCUGGGCUGUAACUGACGCUGAGGAGCGAAAGCAUGGGGAGCGAACAGGAUUAGAUACCCUGGUAGUCCAUGCCGUAAACGUUGGGCACUAGGUGUGGGGGACAUUCCACGUUUUCCGCGCCGUAGCUAACGCAUUAAGUGCCCCGCCUGGGGAGUACGGCCGCAAGGCUAAAACUCAAAGGAAUUGACGGGGGCCCGCACAAGCGGCGGAGCAUGCGGAUUAAUUCGAUGCAACGCGAAGAACCUUACCAAGGCUUGACAUGAACCGGUAAUACCUGGAAACAGGUGCCCCGCUUGCGGUCGGUUUACAGGUGGUGCAUGGUUGUCGUCAGCUCGUGUCGUGAGAUGUUGGGUUAAGUCCCGCAACGAGCGCAACCCUCGUUCUAUGUUGCCAGCGGUUCGGCCGGGGACUCAUAGGAGACUGCCGGGGUCAACUCGGAGGAAGGUGGGGACGACGUCAAAAUCAUCAUGCCCCUUAUGUCUUGGGCUUCACGCAUGCUACAAUGGCCGGUACAAAGGGUUGCGAUACUGUGAGGUGGAGCUAAUCCCAAAAAGCCGGUCUCAGUUCGGAUUGGGGUCUGCAACUCGACCCCAUGAAGUCGGAGUCGCUAGUAAUCGCAGAUCAGCAACGCUGCGGUGAAUACGUUCCCGGGCCCUUGUACACACCGCCCGUCAAGUCACGAAAGUUGGUAACACCCGAAGCCGGUGGCCUAACCCUUUGUGGGGGGAGCCGUCGAAAGUGGGACCGGCGAUUGGGACUAAGUCGUACCAGGUAACCAA